GGGAAGGUGGCUCAGUGGUAGAGCACUUGCCUUGCAUGCAAAAUAAACUCCAAGAAAUGGAAGUAGAAGGGUUUUUUAAAUUAUACUGCUUUUACUUCUUUUUCUUA
rnacentral:tRNA from 1 species